UCGAGGAUCUUCGGCAAUGGGCGCAAGCCUGACCGAGCGACGCCGCGUGCGGGAUGAAGGCCUUCGGGUUGUAAACCGCUGUCAGUGGGGAGGAAGUUUACGGGGGUUCUCCCUCGUAUUUGACCUAUCCGCAGAGGAAGUACGGGCUAAGUUCGUGCCAGCAGCCGCGGUAAGACGAACCGUACUAACGUUAUUCGGAAUCACUGGGCUUAAAGGGUGCGUAGGCGGUCCGGUAAGUCGGGUGUGAAAUACCUCAGCUUAACUGAGGAAUUGCGCCCGAAACUGUCGGACUUGAGGGCGACAGAGGUGAGCGGAACUUAGGGUGGAGCGGUGAAAUGCGUUGAUAUCCUAAGGAACACCAGGGGCGAAAGCGGCUCACUGGGCCUUUUCUGACGCUGAGGCACGAAAGCUAGGGGAGCGAAGA
rnacentral:rRNA from 1 species